rnacentral:rRNA from 1 species
UCUUGGUCAUUUAGAGGAAGUAAAAGUCGUAACAAGGUCUCCGUUGGUGAACCAGCGGAGGGAUCAUUACCGAGUUUACAACUCCCAAACCCAAUGUGAACGUUACCAAACUGUUGCCUCGGCGGGAUCUCUGCCCCGGGUGCGUCGCAGCCCCGGACCAAGGCGCCCGCCGGAGGACCAACCAAAACUCUUAUUGUAUACCCCCUCGCGGGUUUUUUUAUAAUCUGAGCCUUCUCGGCGCCUCUCGUAGGCGUUUCGAAAAUGAAUCAAAACUUUCAACAACGGAUCUCUUGGUUCUGGCAUCGAUGAAGAACGCAGCGAAAUGCGAUAAGUAAUGUGAAUUGCAGAAUUCAGUGAAUCAUCAAAUCUUUGAACGCACAUUGCGCCCGCCAGUAUUCUGGCGGGCAUGCCUGUCCGAGCGUCAUUUCAACCCUCGAACCCCUCCGGGGGGUCGGCGUUGGGGAUCGGCCCUCCCUUAGCGGGUGGCCGUCUCCGAAAUACAGUGGCGGUCUCGCCGCAGCCUCUCCUGCGCAGUAGUUUGCACACUCGCAUCGGGAGCGCGGCGCGUCCACAGCCGUUAAACACCCAACUUCUGAAAUGUUGACCUCGGAUCAGGUAGGAAUACCCGCUGAACUUAAGCAUAUCAAUAAGCGGAG